rnacentral:rRNA from 1 species
GAGGAAUAUUGGUCAAUGGACGCAAGUCUGAACCAGCCACGUCGCGUGAAGGGAGACGGUCCUACGGGUUGUCAACUUCUUUUAUACGGGAAUAAAGUGCCCCACGCGUGGGGUUUUGCAUGUACCGUAUGAAUAAGGAUCGGCUAACUCCGUGCCAGCAGCCGCGGUAAUACGGAGGAUCCGAGCGUGUAUCCGGAUUUAUUGGGUUUAAAGGGUGCUCAGGCGGGGGGUUAAGUCGGCGGUGAAAUUUUGCAGCUCAACUGUAAAAGUGCCUUCGAAACUGGUUCCCUGCAGUGCGGAUGGGGUAGGAGGAAUUUGUGGUGUAGCGGUGAAAUGCAUAGAUAUCACGAGGAACUCCGACUGCGCAGGCAGCUUACCAAGCCGUAACUGACGCUCAAGCACGAAGGCGUGGUGAUCAAACA